AGUGAACGCUGGCGGUAGGCCUAACACAUGCAAGUCGAACGGCAGCACAGGAGAGCUUGCUCUCUGGGUGGCGAGUGGCGGACGGGUGAGGAAUACAUCGGAAUCUACUCUGUCGUGGGGGAUAACGUAGGGAAACUUACGCUAAUACCGCAUACGACCUACGGGUGAAAGCAGGGGAUCUUCGGACCUUGCGCGAUUGAAUGAGCCGAUGUCGGAUUAGCUAGUUGGCGGGGUAAAGGCCCACCAAGGCGACGAUCCGUAGCUGGUCUGAGCGGAUGAUCAGCCACACUGGAACGUAGACACGGUCCAGACUCCUACGGGGGGCAGCAGUGGGGAAUAUUGGACAAUGGGCGCAAGCCUGAUCCAGCCAUACCGCGUGGGUGAAGAAGGCCUUCGGGUUGUAAAGCCCUUUUGUUGGGAAAGAAAUCCAGCUGGCUAAUACCCGGUUGGGAUGACGGUACCCAAAGAAUAAGCACCGGCUAACUUCGUGCCAGCCGCCGCCGUAA
rnacentral:rRNA from 1 species